CCUACGGGUGGCAGCAGUAGGGAAUAUUGCGCAAUGGGGGAAACCCUGAAGCAGCAACGCCGCGUGGAGGAUGAAGGUUUUCGGAUUGUAAACUCCUUUUGUUAGAGAAGAUAAUGACGGUAUCUAACGAAUAAGCACCGGCUAACUCCGUGCCAGCAGCCGCGGUAAUACGGAGGGUGCAAGCGUUACUCGGAAUCACUGGGCGGAAAGAGCGCGUAGGCGGGAUAGCAAGUCAGAUGUGAAAUCCUAUGGCUUAACCAUAGAACUGCAUUUGAGACUGUUAUUCUAGAGUAUGGGAGAGGUAGGUGGAAUUCUUGGUGGAGGGGUAAAAUCCGUAGAGAUCAAGAGGAAUACUCAUUGCGAAGGCGACCUGCUAGAACAUAACUGACGCUGAUGCGCGAAAGCGUGGGGAGCAAACAGGAUUAGAUACCCGGGUAGUC
rnacentral:rRNA from 1 species